GGUACUGAUUUUCUAAAUCCUUAACCUUUCUCCAACUCCUUGGUAUCUGCACAAAUGUCACCCACCUUCUUGUCCUAUACUUGUUUGAUCACCUCCUUAAAUCCAUCUUGCAUAGUCUACAAGUUUAAAAACUUAAAGUAUCUAGACAGUUUAGCUGUAGAAAUUUUGAGCCAGUGAGGAGCAUGAUCUGAAUUGACUUUAGGCAAGUGCACAACUAAUGAUUUACAGUACUUUGUGGCCAAUUGAUUAUUAUCCAGGGCCCUAUCACUUCUCAUCAAUUCUCUUCCAAAUUCUUCUAUCAUGUGCCCCAUCAUUACAUCAAGUGUAUUUUGGGUCAGAGAACUGAAGUUUCACAAGAUCACACUGAAGAAUACAGUUGAUAAAAGAAUCUAGAGGCAGUUCCACUUGCAGGAAUAGGAUCAUCUUGUGUUGGUGAUUUAUUGAAUGACCGAUGGGUACAAAGUCAGGCGACCACGGAAGUAGCUUCAUUGGGCAACAAACUAUAUUGCAAAACCUCCUGAAAUAUAUGUUGUUGUAAUUUGUGAGAGUACUUGUUGAUUUUUUGAUUGGUAAAGAUCAAGUGUUUCAUCAAUGGAUACAAAAAGUGAAAAAUACAGUCCAUCCUUUUCAUGUUUUUGAAAAAGAUAAGCUUCGAAAUCUGUACUAAUCACUUAUGUUCCUUUGCUUACUAUGCGAAAAGAUUUAAUCAACGAUUAUAUUGAACCAGGUUCAACAUCAUGCAUAUCAAAUGAGUCACGUGCUCCAACCUUUUAAAUGGGUUUCAUUGACGGGAAUGCAUACAAUAAGCAAAUAUGAGACUGAAGUUGAGGGAGGAAGUGAUGAGUUAAUAUGAAGGUAGGAACAAAGAAGCUCGCUCGAGUGAAAUGGACCCUGCUCAACUUUUGAUGUCCAGGUGCUUAGUGAUGCUAGAGUUGUAUGCAAACCUACCGGUGACACACCAUUUUAUCUAGCAUUUGUGUUCAAAUGUUGGAACAAGCUAAAUCGUGCGAACUACUAUAUGGCACCGCCGGUGUUUGACUUAUAUUGUAACACAAACAAUCCUAAGCAUAGACAAAGGUUACCUAUUGCAUCUUAACUCCUUUAUUCGACUUACGAGGAGAAAAAAGACAUAAACUUCUUUGGAACUUGACAUGCCACACUUGUUCUUUGAUGUAAUUUGCUGCAGUACAAUUGACUCUCUAUAUAGCUUCCACGAUAACCUUAAUUUUUUUUGUUUCA